UACGUAGGGUGCGAGCGUUUGUCCGGAAUUAUUGGGCGUAAAGGGCUCGUAGGCGGUUUGUCGCGUCUGCUGUGAAAUCCCGAGGCUCAACCUCGGGUCUGCAGUGGGUACGGGCAGACUGGAGUGCGGUAGGGGAGAAUGGAAUUCCUGGUGUAGCGGUGGAAUGCGCAGAUAUCAGGAGGAACACCGGUGGCGAAGGCGGGUCUCUGGGCCGAAACUGACGCUGAGGAGCGAAAGCGUGGGGAGCAAACAGG
rnacentral:rRNA from 1 species